rnacentral:rRNA from 1 species
GAGACCGGGAUGAAAGGUUUAAUAUUUAAGAAAGUUUGUUUUUAGAAUUUUUAGAAUUUUUAGUGAGAGUAAAAAUACUUUUAUUUUUAAAAGAGACGAUAAGACCCUAAAAUUUUUAUUUUGUUAGGGUAUAUAUAAGACUUAAUUGGAAUUUAUUUGGGGUAAAUAUUUUUGUAUUUUAGAAUAAAAUUUUACUCUUGUGUAAAAGAAUCUUAAAUUAGGUUAUUAGGGUAAAUUACUUUAGGGAUAACAGCGUAAUUUUUUAUUGGAGAUGGUAUUUAUUAAAUUUUUGCGACCUCGAUGUUGAAUUAAGAUUUCUUUUUGUGGCAGUUUGCAUAUUAGAGGGUUUGUUCAACCUUUAAUUUUUUACAUGAUCUGAGUUCAAACCGG